rnacentral:rRNA from 1 species
GAUUAACGCUGGCGGCGUGCAUAACACAUGCAAGUCGAACGAUGAAACUUAAAUGAUUUCUUCGGAAUGAACUUAAGUGGAUUAGUGGCGGACGGGUGAGUAACGCGUGAGUAACCUUCCUUACACAAGGGGAUAGCCGUUGGAAACGACGAAUAAUACCCUAUGAUGUUUCUAUCUCGCAUGAGAUAUUAACCAUAGUGUUAGCGGUGUAAGAUGGACUUGCGUCUGAUUAGCUAGUUGGUGAGAAAAAAGCCCACCAAGGCAACGAUCAGUAGCCGGCUUGAGAGAGUGUACGGCCACAUUGGGACUGAGACACGGCCCAGACGCCUACGGGAGGCAGCAGUGGGGAAUUAUGCACAAUGGGGGAAACCCUGAUGCAGCGACGCCGCGUGAUUUAGAAGGCCUUCGGGUUGUAAAAAUCUUUUGUAUAGGAAGAAAAUGACAGUACUAAACGAAUAAGGUCCGGCUAAUUACGUG